UAAGUCACGGACGAGGAGUCGUCACCAACAAAAUGGCGGAAAACGUGGAGAGUGUAGAUGCUCGAACCGCUGAAAUUCUUCAGGCCGUAGCUCGUCAUGUCAACUGCCUCUCCGAAAACAACCGUGCUACCAAAAAGCGGGCACUUGAAAGCAUCCGCAGAGAAACUUUGGGCAAGAAGCCGGCUCUGGACCCUGCUGUACUGCAGCGUGUGUUUGAAAGCUUACUGAAACAGCUUUUGAAAUGCUUCUCAGACUGCGUUGAAAAAUGUCGUGAGCUGGCAGUCGAUGUUGUGUCAGAUUUUCUCGACGCUGUACCAACGCCAGAGGGGCCAUUGCCGUAUCUGAUGCCAACAGUUGUGCAAAGGUUAGGGAACCAAGAAAUAGUGGAAACGUCAGAGGAACUUAGGUUGAGCCUUGUUAAUUUACUUGUGAAGCUCACCCAGUUAACAAAAAAGAAACUUGCUGCUUACCUUGAUGACUUGAUAAAAAUUCUGCAACGAACUGUUGUGGAUCCAUUUCCAGACGUCCGCAAAGAGAGUUGCAGGUGCAUCAGUCUUGUGGCUCGUGCCAUUCCUGAGCAUUUUCACAUGCAGUCUGAGAGUCUCAUUGCACCCCUGCUGCAUUGCAUUAGCCACCAACAUGCAAAAGUUCGCACACUGUGUAUCCUGACUAUCGGCGAUGUUUUGCAAUUCGGCAGCCACAAGCCCAUGGACCAAGUCAUAUCGCACCUUGCGCAGAGGCUGUUUGACCAGUCGCCACAGGUGCGAGUAGCUGUGACUAAUGUUGUGGGUGGAUGGCUAUUGGACUUUGUGGACCGUUACUCCUAUCAUCAUAAGCUGAUUCCACUCUUACUUACCAGCCAGACUGAUGAGAUGCCAGAUAUACAAGAGAGGGCUUUCAAACUUUGGGAUGAGGUUGGAACCAAAUACGCCAAGGAGAAUGAGGAGGAACUGAAAGACCAGAUGGACUUUGAAAGGAUUAUAGAGUUACCUCCUGGAGAAACGAGAAGACCUAACCUGGGCUGCCGUAUGCUGAUCUUCCGCAACCUGUCAAAGAUCCUGCCAGGCCUUUUGCACGAUCUGACCGACUGGACCGCGUCCAAUCGCAUCAUGUCGGCCAAGCUGUUACGGGUGCUGCUGCUGAAUGCGGAGGACCACACCACACAGCACAUGGAGAAACUCCUGUCGGGAAUGUACAAGGCCUGUGGCGAUGAAGAGAAAGAAGUAGUGGCAAAGAUGCUCCAGUCGGCAGAGCUUGUAGGCUUCUUUGUGGACCCACAGAUCUACUGGAAGUUGAUGUCGCCCUCUGUCCAGUCCGCUCAGAGCCCCGGCGUGCUGAUGACUUUGGCUGCGUUGAUGCGUGGCUCAAGGCAGGAGGCCCUUCACCCACAGCUGCAGAGUGUGUGCGACGUGUUGGCCGAUCCCGAAGUCUGUCGUAGUGAACAGAGCUCCUACCAGAUCCAACUUGUGUCGUGUGUUGAAGCCAUCAUGUCCACAGGCAGGGAGCAGUGCUCAGAAGUCAGUCUGCCAUUGUUUACUGUACUCGUCACUGUGUUGGCGUUGGCAAGGGAUGACGCACUGAAGACAAAAACCAGGGAAGUUAUAGCAUCUCUUGCCUCGACGCAAGGCAUGGAGGACAGCAGCGCCCUCUACAGGCAGCACAGCCGCCAGUUCCUUGCCAUGCUGAAGGGAAACUACGAGCAGUGGACAAAUUUUUCAGUGGAGCGGCCAAUCUUUGACACUUUGCUGAGCGAAUCUGGUGUGUUGGUAUGUGAGCUCCUGGAUGACGUCUUCCCCGUCCUGCAGGCCAACCUCAAGCCAGAUAAAGACCCCGAGCUGCGGCUCAAGUUCUUCUCCCUGCUCUCGCGGCUGGUGAUGAGAGCGGGUGAGUUGGCCGAGGCCAGAGCAAUAUUUGGCGACUUCUCGCCGGCUGUCGUCCGGGAGAUGGUCAUCCCCAACUGCGUGUGGCACGGUGGCCGGACGGCGGCGGCCAUUCGGACCACAGCCAUCUCGUGCCUCUGGGCACUGCUGCAGAGCGGCCUGCUGACCGCUGAACAGAUCAACAGCGUCAUGUCGGACCUCCAAACCCAGCUGACCUCCCUCUUGGAGGAUGACAGCCGCUCAACCCGCCUCAUCACCUGCCGCGUCUUCCGCAAGAUCCUAGCCCUCUGCGGCUCCACCUUUGACCCUGACCGCCUGCACACGAUGUACAUGGAGCUCCUGAAGCGCAUGGACGACAGCAGUGACGAGAUCCGCCUGGCCGUGGCCAAGACCUUUGAGACGUUCUUCCAGUGCUUCCCCGCCGACUAUGAUAAGGUUCUGUACAGGGCGCACCUGGAGACGUUGUAUAGAGGCCUGUUGGUGCAUAUGGACGACCCAGAUCCUAAUAUACAGCAGUCAGUCCUAGAUUUGUUGAAGCAGGCCGCCCCUCUGCACCCUCAGCUUUUGCAAGAGGAGGUGGAAAUGGUCCGACACAAGCAUCGCAGUUUUGUGUUCUGUGACGAGCUCCUCCAAUACAUCAAAACUCUCAGUUGAUGAAUGGAACCUGAAGGACACUGGAGAGUUGGUCAUCAGGAGAGCAACCAGUUGGGCAUAAACCAAGAACUGUUUGGCUGGACCGCUGGAUCUACGCUUUAUGCAGAGUGGAUCAAGUCUUUGGUGAUUGGACAUCAGGUGAACUUGUCUGUCUCCUCUUCAUGAGGACAGGAAUUGUUCUGCUUGCAUGAGGUGAAACUCCGUCACUGGACUUUCAAGUUCCUCCAGUCUCCAAGCAGGAGUUGUGGUUGCGGGACUGUUUGCUGUGAAACUGUAAUAGGCCCAGGCCUUUUGAACCUGUGUGGUUGUUGUGGAGACUUCAAAAAGAAAGUGAACUGAGCUAGCUACAUGUAGUCUCGCCACAAGUACGGAUUUGGGACUUGAUUGUACCAAGUGAAAUCAAGAACUCCUAUCCUUAAAUAUAAGAGGCCUUAAAGCUUUGUGUAGGCUACCUGUAUACCGGUAUUGUUUGAUUUGUGAAAGAUAAAAAAUUGGAAUUUUCUAUGUCAGAUUGUUGGCAUAAAUAAGUACGUAGGCCUACUACAGAUGACACUUGUAGCGGACGGCCCGUCCCAGUUUGCCCUUAAGCGAACUUUUGCGGUUGAAAUUUUCCGCAACACUAAGUGUUAGGAAAUCUUUGCAGGCACUGUCCUUUGGUGUAUUAUUGUAUCCUGCAAAAACACAUCUUGUCGGCAUUUUAGCUAUUCAGAACCGAAUUCUAAAGAGUUUUUGGUGAGAAAUACUGUGUGAUUCAUAGGUCGGUCCACAUGUAAAGCAGCACGGUCGCGAGGUCAGUGGUCCCAGCGUUACAUGAUCGGGUUCUUUACGGGACGUCAUAGACCACGUGACCAUUUAUUCACCAUUUACGGUGGUCAAAAGUGGGGGCGUGAAAAUGCGCAAAAACAAUGUCAAAAUCAGCAGAACCGAUAGAAACAAAUGAGAAAGCGUUGUAUUCUUUUUUAUAUUUAGUACAGGUUUAUUAAACACUAUAAUGGUCUUGAAUAACAGGGAACCUUUAAAGUUUUUUGCUGUCCUCAUUGAUGUUCCAGAUUUUGAUGGUGAUUUUCCCUGUACAAGAUUGUUUCGACUAAAGUUUUGCAGUUCAGCGUUUUAAAGUAAGUGUGGUUCAUCCAUCUGUCUGAUCCAACGUGUGUUGAUCCCCCUCCCAUGUGGGCCACGAGGCUUACAUUUCAAGGCGACCUUGCCAGGACCUCAUAAUAAUUUUUUGGGGGGGCCAGCUCCGUUUCUCUCGGCAAUAAACAACGGGGGACACAUUUUAUUCUGGUGCCAAAUAGAUACAUGUACACAAUAGUAGGGUCAUUUUGAGAGCCAUAGGCUGAGAAUUGGUAUUUUCUUGUGCUGGGUCUUAGCAGAGUGCAUUUUUUUUUAAUUUGAAAUUUUGUGUAAAACAUGGCGGACAGUGGUGACAUUUUGCAGUUUCGUUCUGGGUUGUGCACUUCCUCUUUCCAGUGAAGAACCGUUGUCUUUUUUGAAAGAGUCAAUUACUCGAGGCCCAAUUAAAGAAGGUUAACCGCCUAGUCGAUGUCUCCUGUUAGGAGUGGCGAGAAACAACGAAUCUUCUAUGUGAGUUUCAUUGUGAGGUUGGUGAAGCGACCCUCCCUGUUUCAGGAGAUAUUACUGUCCCUAUUGAUGGCAAGGAAGUGGUGCUGCGAAUAUACCUUUUGAACCCCACUGGGAACUUUAAGAGUCGGGUCUUAGUGAAGGACAUUGUGGAGGAGCAAGGUGCAUCCAAACCCCAGAAAGGAGAGCCUUCCAAGAGUUCCUUGAGCAAAGCCAUGUCUUUGUGUGCAGUAAUAGUGGGCGGAAGCUACGUCCUUUCUCCGCUCUUAAGACUCCUGCCAAGGACGAGGACAGCUUUGACACAUGGAUUGAACUUGUUCAGGGGCAACUGGAAGAGGAAUCUGAGGAUUCUGAGAAGAGAUGACAUUUGAGAGGUUCUCCGCCCCCCUGCUGCCAGUAUCAUCACUGACCUCGUUGAGAGCACCCUCAAGCUUCGGAAUACCUUGCUUUUCUGGAGCUAGCAUUCGGAAGUACAGAGUCACCUCAGGAGCUGAGCCUUUUGUUUCACUCUACACAUCAAUGUCGUGGUGAGUCCCUUCAGAGCAUCUCACUAGACUCCAGGUGUAUAUUGAGGAAGUUGGAACGAAAGGGUGCGGCUCAAAAGGAAAAGUCAGACUCACUUCUAAUUGAGCACUUUAUAAAGGGAGUGCUUAUCAACGAAAUUUUGUUGGUGAAUUUUAGGUUGAAAGAUCUGAAGAAGAGCCCUCCUACCUACCUGACAUUGCUUCAGUUGGUGAGGAGAGAGGAAGCAGAACAGCAGGCUAAGAUGAGCUGAAGAGGAGAAGGGGAUGUGAGUGUUGUCGAGGCAAACCCUAAGCAGGCCAGGAGUCAGGUGCAAGCUGCCAAGAAACCAGUCAAGCGUAGACAACAUGAUGCACGUUCAAGAGUCUGUUACCGAUGUGGUGAAGACGGCCACUACAAGACAAAGUGCGACAAACCUGAGAACCUACGGAGGAUAUUUUGCCCGACGAUUGUGAUCCAUGCCAUCCAAGCAUGAUCUAGUUUUGUUGAGGCUCCACAAGAGUAUCCCCUCGAAAGCAACUGUAUUUGCGUUGGGCAUUUUCCGACGCAGAUAAUCCAGCCCUGCAAAAAUCCUCUCUGUCGAUAUGUCAUCUUUAGGGCAGGAUGUCGUUUGCUGUCGAAUUUCAUCAGAGGCAUUAUGAAAUCGACCGCCAGGAAGAUGAUCGGCAAGUUGACGAGAGAUGCACACCAUGAAGUUGUGAAAUAUGAGGGGGCUUGCUUUGUGAGAUUUUCGAUGGACUCUGUUGUUACUGCAUAGAGAGACUUGUGGACGUCAUUUUUAGCUGGUGGAAAUUCUGGGAAAAGUAAAGAAUAGGACUUGGAUCUAUCAUCCACUCUUCAACUUUGUCAUUUAAACGUGUAUGAAAUCUAUCUGUAUCCAUAUGUAUGCUGCUCUCAAUCAUUUUCAUCAUGGGAGUUGAUACAUGUUGAAAAAAACAUGCCCAUGGCCCUCAUACCUGCUGGAAUAAUAUCGUCAUCUUGGUCAGCUUUCAGGGACUUGACAAACAUGUUAGCUUCUCUCGAUAGGUCCAAUGAUGAGCAAAGUUGAUAAAAGUGGUCUCUGUGAUGAAAAACUGCAGCCGAGUUUGAAAACAGAAUGUUAAAUCUGUUGCCUCUGUGUGCUUCUAGAUGGGAUUUCUCAACUACAGCCUUAAACUCCUCAACCAUUCCAGAUUGCUCUCAGCAGUCUGGCCCAAGAAAAUUGCAAAAAGAACGCACUGUUAAAAGUGAUGCGGAUUCUGUCUUCCCUCUUUUCCACUGGAAUUCCCUCUUCCAAUGUUACCAUCUUCGGCCUCAAUCUUUUCCCACUCACAAAGAGCAGCUGCUGCAUAUUCCUGUCAAUUCAAAACUAGGUGUUUGCAGAUCAUUGAUUGUGGCCAUCUCUUGUUUGGUGUCGUCGCUGAUUCUUUACUUGUUUUGUCACCUUUUUUUUGCUGUCUUACUUGCCUUACCGCUGUUCUUGAAACGCCUUCUCGAAUCACCUUUUGCUUUUUUGUCUCUCUGUAAACACCUAAUUUUUUUCUUCCAGUUUCUGGAUUUUCAUGUUUAGUUUCUGCUUUUCUCUGACCCCCUCAGCCAGUUCCUUUUCUUUUUUCUCCAGCUCUGCAUCUAUCAGUCCCAAAUUCGGGAUUUGUAGAAAUAUUUCUAUGAU